UAAACGACCACCAACCUGUCCACCUGGACACUGACUGUCGAGCUCCCCUGCUACCCACUUCAGACCAGCUGCCCACGCCCCAGUGACCGGCCAAACGAUGAAUGAGGUGAGCACUGAUGAAGAGCCAUUACUGUACUGACUGCACAAGGUGAAGGCCUGUGUCUUCACUGCUUGACUGUCAAUGUUAGAUGCUACAAUGUCAGAUACAAACCUUGAGGAACCUUUGAACUUGCAAGAAAGUGGAAGAAAGCCACAAGAUGAGGGGCAACGUGAGAAGAACGUCCCAAAAAACAAGCAAGACUCGGCCGAUGUGUUCAGCAUUAGUUCAGCAAGCCCAUGUCCAGUCAAGGAUGCUCAAGUUAACAGUGAAACCAAACACAGCAAAGUGUCUGAGCUGGCUUCAGGUCAGGCUUUGAAUAGAUCUGGAAUCCUGGUCCAUCUACAGCUUGGUUCACCUCUGGAGUCAGUAAGAGAACUGAUGGAGGUGGAAGAAACAUGUGAACUGGGGGUUCUAGGAGACAGGAUGGUCUUAUUUAACGAGCAAAAGGAAAGCAAAGAGAUCUUUCCUGCCACAAACAUAAGAUACAUGUCACUGACCACAGAAGGGCUUGGAGAUGCCUUGGGAAGGGCCAUCAUGGCGUCCGCCACAAAACCUGAUGCAACUGUAGAAAGCCCCAUGACAGAAGCCUGUAGCUCCUUGCAUGAGAUUCCAGGAUUGUGGCCUCAAGAAGAUGCCUCAAAGGUUUCAGUCAACGAGUGUCAACAGGUGGAGCGGUGCUCUUCUACUAUGUGUAGUGACCAGACGGGGCACCAGCUGACACCAUGCAACGCUAAUUCUGGUGUUGUUGAGGUCCAACUGGACAAGCAUUCCUCUGUCACCCCUUUGCAAGACCUUCUAAACCCUGUAGAGGAACAUAUGUGUCACCAAACUGGUGUAGAAGUUAAAGUUAAGUAUGAUGACAAGUUGGGGUUAGACAACAAGUCAAAUUCAGAGGAGUUUCAAGGUCACAACUGUGAAAAGGAAGACGCUGCAACCACUGUGGCUAACCAGACUCUAACUGAGGUUCUCACACCUUGUAAAGCCAAAGUGGAACAGCACGAACAGCUGAAAUCCUCUUCAUUUGAUCUGUCUGCCCAGCUGCAUUCUGCUCAAGUUAUGACUGCAAGUCUGCAUCAGAGAGUGCUUUGCCUGGAGCAUGAAUGCAGCCUCAAAGAGAAGGAGCUACAAGAGCUAACAGCCAAUCUGGAGAAGACUAGCAAAGCUCUAGAAGUGAGGAACUCAGAAAUGACUACGGUCUCUAAGGAGCUCCACCUGCUUCACUUAGAGCUGGAAGCAAUGAAGAAUCCACCGACUGCUGCCCGGACCGUCAAUGCCAAUGGUCAGGCCACUCUGAGCUCACAGCAGCUGCUGGCACAAAACAGCAGCAGCUCAAAACUGUGUAGACUGUUGUGAUAGUGCCCAUAUGGAAAAAAAUAUGGAUCUGUAUUUUUAUAUUAUUAAAAUACACUUCAAAUACAUUCAGUCUAUUCUGAGAUACAUUCCAAACACUAAAAUAUAACUCAGAAUGUAUUACUGUAUUAACCAAAUCUAUUUUAAAACACAUUUACACAUAGAAAAGUACCACACAAACAUUAUGUAUGUAAAUGUAUUUAUCAAAAUACAUUUGAAAAUGUAUGAAAAUAGCCAGAAUCCUGUCUAAUGAACUUUAUUGUUUGGAUACGUUUGGAUACUGUAAUGAAUUUGUAUUCCAGUAUCUUCAUUUUAAAU
ensembl:lncRNA